rnacentral:rRNA from 1 species
AUUGAACGCUGGCGGCAUGCUUUACACAUGCAAGUCGAACGGCAGCACGGGCUUCGGCCUGGUGGCGAGUGGCGAACGGGUGAGUAAUAUAUCGGAACGUACCCAGAAGUGGGGGAUAACGUAGCGAAAGUUACGCUAAUACCGCAUACGAUCUAUGGAUGAAAGCAGGGGACCGCAAGGCCUUGUGCUCCUGGAGCGGCCGAUAUCUGAUUAGCUAGUUGGUGAGGUAAAGGCUCACCAAGGCGACGAUCAGUAGCUGGUCUGAGAGGACGACCAGCCACACGGGAACUGAGACACGGCCCAGACUCCUACGGGAGGCAGCAGGGGGGAAUUUUGGAAAAUGGGCGCAAGCCUGACCCAGCAAUGCCGGGGGAGGGAAGAAGGCCUUGGGUUUGUAAAGCUUUUUUGUCAGGGAAGAAACGGUAGGGGCUAAUAUCCUUUGCUAAUGACGGUACCUGAAGAAUAAGCCCCGGCUAACUACGU